ACCUGGUUUGAUCCUGCCAGUAGUCAUAUGCUUGUCUCAAAGAUUAAGCCAUGCAUGUCUAAGUAUAAACCGCUUGAGUCGCAAGGCUCAAAACGGGUGAAACUGCGAAUGGCUCAUUAAAUCAGCAAUCGUUUACUUGAUUGUGUGCUAUUAUGGAUUUGGCUGGGGGGUUCGCCUCUCAGUCAAAGCUAUUAUGGCUGUAUGGAUAACCGUGGUAAUUCAAGAGCUAAUACAUUAUUAACAAGAGGUCGACUUUUCGCAAGAGAGGAAGAUCUGCAUUUAUUAGAUACAAUUGCAAAACCGAAACUCCCGGGCAACCGGGGUUUUAAUAUGUUGGUGAUUCAUAGUGACUGUGCGAAUCGCAUGACACUCACUCUCACGAGUGAGAUUUUGUCGGCGAUGGAUCAUUCAAAUUUCUGACCCAUCAAUUCUCGAUGGUUGGAUAGAGGCCAACCAUGUUGACGACGGGUAACGGAGAAUUGGGGUUCGAUUCCGGAGAGGGAGCCUGGAGAAACGGCUCCCACUUCCAAGGAAGGCAGCAGGCGCGCAAAUUGCCCAAUCCUAAUACAGGGAGGCAGUGACAAGAAAUAACAAUGCAGGCCUCUUGAAAUAUAGAGACUGCAAUUGGAAUGAGAUCAAUUUAAAACGCUUAACAAGGAACAAUUGGAGGGCAAGUCUGGUGCCAGCAGCCGCGGUAAUUCCAGCUCCAAUAGCGUAUGCUAAAAUUGCUGUAGUUGAAAAGCUCGUAGUUGGAUUUCGGAGUAAAAAGGAUGGGCUGGAGUGAUUAGCUCAAAAGGUUAAUGUACUCCACCUAUCUGUCGAGAUUUAACUUGGAAUGAGGAAUCAGCUGCUUUUUUAAGUGGCGGAUUUUUCUUCCGAGGUCUCUUUACUCCUUUUUCUUGAAUGGAGAUUUUCUUAUUUGCGUCGUUUCGGCGGCGUAAAGGGAUUUUUUCAUUCAAGAAGGUAUGACUGGUUUGCUCGUAGCUAUUCUUUAUUGAAUAGCUAUUAUCUCAGAGAAAGCGUGAGGAGAAAUCUUUACGCGUUGUAUCUGGGGUUUGGUGUUAGGGAGUUAUUUUCCUUAACAACAGAGCUCCAGUCCGUUUACCUUGAAUAAAUCAGAGUGUUCAAAGCAGGCUUAAAUUCGGCCGUCAAACGUCGAAAAACGCCUUGUAUGCUUCAGCAUGGGAUAAUGGAACAGGACCAGGUUGGGUCACGUGCAUAUUUCGUUUUGGUUUUCAGCCGUGAACAAAUUGAAUCUAAUAAAUUCACCCAACCGGUGAUGAUUGACAGGGACUGUCGGGGACAUUGGUAUUUAAUUGUCAGAGGUGAAAUUCUUGGAUUAAUUAAAGACCAACUUCAGCGAAGGCAUUUGCCAAGGAUGUUUUCAUUUAAUCAAGAACGAAAGUUGGGGGAUCGAAGAUGAUCAGAUACCGUCGUAGUCCCAACCGUAAACGAUGCCGACCAGGGAUCGGGAAUGGAAGUAAACAAAAAGGUGAUAGCAGUCCCUACGGGGGCUGUGUGUAACUGAAUCGUCCUUCCCGGCACCUUACAUAUUUUAUCUUUCCGGGAAACCACGAGUUUUUGGGUUCUGGGGGGAGUCUGGUCGCAAGGCUGAAACUUAAAGGAAUUGACGGAAGGGCACCACCAGGAGUGGAGCCUGCGGCUUAAUUUGACUCAACACGGGGAAACUCACCAGGUCCAGACUUGACGAGGAUUGACAGAUUGACAGCUCUUUCUUGAUUUCAAGGGUGGUGGUGCAUGGCCGUUCUUAGUUGGUGGAGCGAUCUGUCUGGUUAAUUCCGAUAACGAACGAGACCUCGGCCUACUGAAUAGUGAUGCCAAUCUUUCUUUCAACAUUCAUAGAAAAUGUAUUGGUCGAGGGGAUUGAAGUGCAAAUGGAUGUCUUCUCGGCCAGUGCUUUUCUGUAGAGUCAGGAUUUUUUUGUUAGUUAGAGGGGCAACCCUCUGAUUAAUGAAUGCCUGGUUAUCUACCGAUGGUUAGAUUGUCGUAGUACACUUCUCAGAGGGACCACUUCGCGCUUUAAGCCAGCGAGUGGAAGAUCGAGGCAAUAACAGGUCUGUGAUGCCCUUCAGAUGUUCUGGGCCGCACGCGCGCUACACUGACGGAGACCAACGAGCGAUGGCGAUAACAAUUAAAGUGCGCCUUUUGCAAGGCCUUUCGGGGUUUUGUAAGAGACGUAUUUUUUGUUAUCGGCGACCUGGGCCGAAACAGGCUUUGGGCAAUCUUGGUAAACUCUGUCGUGCUGGGGAUCGAUCCUUGUAACUGUGGGUCGUCAACGAGGAAUUCCUCGUAGGCGCGGUUCAUCAGACCGCGUCGAAUGCGUCCCUGCCCUUUGUACACACCGCCCGUCGCUCCUACCGAUUGAAUGGUCCGGUGAAGUCUUUGGAGCUGGAUUUCGGUCUUUUUUCCUCGUGAAAGAAGAUUUUUGAAAUCCUCUUGUGGCGAAGUUGACUGAACCUUAUCAUUUAGAGGAAGGAGAAGUCGUAACAAGGUAUCCGUAGGUGAACCUGCAGAAGGAUCAAGCC
rnacentral:rRNA from 1 species